UCUUGCACUAAGAUAACUCCUAAAAACCUUUUAAUUGAAUUAAACAUAACAUUAGGUUUUUAUUAUAUAAGGUGAUCAAACAAUUGUCUACUUGUCACAUAAAAAGGUAGAACACAAUGGCUAAAACUCUCAAGGUUGUUUACACUGUGAUUCUUUUAGUGUCUCUAUUUCUUCUUUUAAUCGCCGCUAGUGCAAAAAUGAUUUGUAAGACACGCGUUGAUUGUAAAAAAUAUCGGUGUCCCCGUUCUAAAAUCAAGGAUUGCGUUAAGGGUUAUUGUAGAUGUGUUAGGAAGAAAUAAGUGAUGACAAGAAAUCAAUGGAGCUUGUGGAAUAGAGAUCCUUUGUUGAUGACUUGAAGCAUUAAGCAGUUGUGGUUAAGUUACUUCCAAGAAACAUUAUACAAUGCAAACUAAGAAGCAUUAUACAAUGGAAAAAAUAAGAGAUACAUAUAUGUGUAUCAAAAUAAUUAAAUUUUCCCCCCUCUGCCGACCAGCGCCACUGCUCCCCGUGUCUCUCUAUGCUUCUCCAUCUCAUUUCACAUUUGCAGCGGCCCGCUGCCAACGCCAUCUCUUGGUCUUGGCACUCAUACUAUCUCAAUCCCAUACUAUCUCAAUCCGCUUCUUAGAUUUUUCAAAUUCGCCAUUGAAGAUAAGAGAGAGAAAAAUAGAAAAAUGAAGAAAAUAUCAAAUUGGACAGUGAAAUGGAGAAAACGAAAAUAGUCUGCAAAUGGACAUGUGGGAAUUAAGAAGACGAAGAGUUUGGGCAUGUUUAGACUGGAUUAUAGUGCAAUUAGGCGGCAAAUUUUUUUGGGCAAAUUAGUUUGCUUUAAUAAAUAAAGGAUUUUCUGCUUAUCAUAACAUUGUUUCUGUUAUAUAUAAUUUCUUUCAUACUUUCAUAUAUUUUUCUCGAACAUACAAUUUCUUUAAUAGCUUUUAAAACGUGUUAAGUUUUGUUAUGAAAGUAUUUAUUAACCUUUUCUUUUAUAUAUAUAUAUAUAUGUGUGUGUGUGUGUGUGUGUGUGUUUUAAAGAUAAAUAUGUAUCACUUAGAAUUUACUGAGUUUACACUUUAGGGUGUUAUCUAGAAAAUAUUUUCGUAUAACUAUAUUGACGAAUUACAUGAUAGUAUCGUCUCAAUGAGAGUGGACACUAUAUUAAUACAUAUAAUUUAGUAAUUUAGAGGAGUGUUGUACUUUGCAUAUGACAUGGAACAUAACCUAUCAAUCCAACUUUUCCUAAUUAUUUUAACCUCAUCACAUGAAUUUCAAGUAGUAUAUGUUUUAGCAUUGAAAGUUUGUCCAUUUAUUCGUGUUAUACUAUAUUACCGCAAUUGUUGUGAUCUUGCUAUAUAUGGUUCAAGGAUACAUGUUAAUAUAUUUAUGAUUUAUUCAUUUUACAGUACUCACAUUUUCUUUUCUUUGUGCCUCCUCUUAUAAAGUAUUUGUAUGCAGUCAUCACAAGCAAUCAAUGGAGCUUUUCUUGUGAAAGUCGAAGACUAAAGGCUUGUGCCUAACUAUAUUUUAUGAGUUUUUUAUUACUAAAAAAAACUGGUUUUAGCUUCCAUAUUUAGCGUUGUCCCCUGGCACAAACGCUAGUUAGCAUCAGUCCAACGCACGCUAGUGCACUAAACAUUUUAUUUAUUUUUCCAGCCUCCCGCAUCGACUCAAACUGUAACACUUAUACUCUAAGGACGACCAUUCACUAGCCGUUUAACAUGAGUGCCGCCCAGCGUUUUGGCCUUGCACUUCAACCUGAUAGCUACGUCAGGAGUACUUUUCAAUCCAUUUCACCCUUAUGUGUUGUUGGCCUUGUGGGAUAAGUGUUUGUUAUUGUCCUUAUUAGGUAAAAUGAAUACAUUUCAGUAGGUGACAGUUUAAUCUUGUUUAACAUGCAUUAUUCAUAAGGAUCUCUCCAACUAUGUUUUUUC